GCCCUCAUAGCUCGAAUCGGUAGAGCGAGCGACUCUUAAGCAGUAACCUUGGUUACGACUUUAAUCGCUAGGUUGUGGGUUCGAGCCCCACUGAAGGCU
rnacentral:tRNA from 1 species